AUGAAAAUCAUCAGCUGGAACUGCCGGGGACUCGGGAAUGGCCCGGCAAUUCGCUCUCUUCUCGAAUUGGGGAGAGUGGAGGAUCCUGAUGUUUUGUUCCUUUGUGAAACACGGAUGGAGGAGAAGCAGCUGGGGAGGUUUAGGUGGUUGUUGGGGCUCGCCAACAUGGUAGCGUGGAAGGACGAAAGUAGCGGUAGGGGAGUGGCAUUGUUUUGGCAGAAGGAG
rnacentral:rRNA from 1 species